GUUUAAAUGUUCUUUUCUGGCUCCCUAAAACAUUUCUCACCCCUGCUUGAAACAACCCUUUCAACUGUGUAGCCUGGACAUUCUUCUCGUGUUCUGAUGGUGCCCAGGAAGCACACACAAGAAACCCGUGGUGCAACGCACGGAACCUGGUGCGGCUAGUUCUUGUGCCAUGCCCUGGAAACUCUAUAGGGCGUGCUGCAUAACGUCGUUCCGUAAAUUAUCAGCGGCUCUGGAGAUGGAAUUCACUUUAAAACUGUGCGCUCUCCUGCUUCGGUGACAGGCACAUGCAUUUUCCAGAGAAAGCAGUGGUACCGUCACCACUCGGAGCAGGGCCAGAGAAAGGAGGUUUUUCAGUGUAGCAGGCGGGUACCCGUCGUACCCUUCGGGUAGAAGGCCAGCUUUAGCAAACUCUAUAAUUGUUAAAUUUUUCCGUGUUGAAUGUGUAUGCCCUUCCUUUUGCAGAUCAAAGGAAAGGACGUCUCCACGCGGAGACGCCGGCUGUUUCGAGUUAAAUGCCUCGAGCACGGCGCUCCCUUUUCCAAGGGAGCAGCGCUAGCCGCUGUAGUGUGAAAGGAACGAAUGAAUGAGUACCGGUGGUUUCCAUGUUUUUGCCUUUGUCCAUUAUGCCGUCUUGCGAGCUUCCAGGAUGAAGGGAAGAUGGUCAUGUGAAACAUCAAACUUAGGGUUCCGUCUCAUCAGUUCUCUGCCGUAGUAUAUGUGUGUAAGCAUGUCACAGAAUCAGAGAACAAAUUACUCACAAUGUUUUUUGUUUUGCGAUGCGCAUGAAUCUUACUCUCCAAAGAGGGUACCUUAUCGUGCUCGGGGGAGCGUGGAAUAGCAAUUGCCACCUCGAACCUCUUUCAACGUAUGAUUUGGAGUAUCGGUCAGACUGCUAAGUUUUUUUGGUCCGUUUCGUAAAGAGCGUGUGCAGGGACUUGAAGUAGAAGACAGUGGUGAAAUCGAAGUUGAAGUCGAGAUGGGGCCUUCUUGACCUGCGCGUAUGAGGGUAUGCCAAUGUUGCUUUUUUUUUUUACUAGAGAAAGAGGCGCUCUGUGAACACUCUUGGGAAGGGGUUGUAUUAGUUUUGCUGAUCGCCGAGUUGAGUGUUCCGCUUUGGUAAGCCCAUGGACAGGUGCACAGCCUAUCCCCUCUCCGCGAACAGCACGCGGCUGCAAAGCCGUCCGAAUUUGUAGGCUACUUGUUUCCUGCUUUCUAUACCAGUGUUCGGCAUGAUGCGGACAAUUUAUUUGAGAACCCUGAAUGCCUCGGGUUUUUCUACACCAUGCUUUGAAAGACGCUGUUGUGAGAC
rnacentral:lncRNA from 1 species